rnacentral:piRNA from 1 species
UGACACAGUGACAUUAAGGGUCUGGGUAGU